AGGCUAGUCUUGCCAUGGCCUAGCCAGCCAUUGGCAAAGGUGGCCUUGCCCAUGGCUAUCGCCCGUGGUCAGCGAAGAAGAUGAUGAAGAUGGAUGACCUUGAGAUGGGUCACGGUUGCGCUGUCCCUGCAAACACGGUCGGCGAAGAAGAUGACGAAGGCUCGUGCCGAUUACGCACCCUCCCAUUUCUUCUUCUUCUUUAGCCCUUAGCUAAUAGACGACGAUGGUUCAGCUUCUACUCUGACACAGUUAGAUUAGGGUUAAGUUAGGACAAUCCUGCUGUUCUUAUUCUUUUGAUCGUAAGAUACAUUUUCUGUUCAUUCUGAAGUCCGGUGGACCGGUUAUUACGCACCAACACAUUUUUGGACUUGUCCCAGUAGAGAAUUGCGUUUUUUGAGAAGAGAUUUGUUUCACGAAUGAGAAAGGCCUCAAACUGAAGAUCAAAUUACAUGAACUUCUGCAAGUUUUCUUGAGAAAACUAUCUGAUUCUUCUCCUUUUUUCCAUCUUUGGUAGAGACUUGAGCGUCAACAAAUUGACUGGUCAAGUUCCUGACAAGAUGGGAGCUGCUCUAGAUUACAUGUAAUUACAAAUUUUCUUGACCACUCCUAAUGUCUCAGCAAAUUUGUAGUUGAUUUUCCUUCCUCGUUGAUAUCAUAUACUCCUCGUAUAGUUGAAUUCCAAACAAUUCUUUGGACAAGUACAUAACUUUUAUUUGUGAAUGUAGGUUCCUGACAAACAACUCCCUUAGUGGAGCAGUACCCACUUGGGUAACAAGCAGCAAACGAUAUUUGUUAGUCUCCUAUGAAAAUUUCCAGUUUUUCGUUCUUACUUUUCCAUACUUUUGACAUAGAUUGCAGGAUUUAACUCAUAAUUCCUAGUAUGAGACUCAUGAGUUCCCAUAUGAUAUAUCACUCUCCAAUGUUGGACUAUCAUUAUUUACCAGAUGAAUAUGCGCACUAACUCGGUCAAGGUAUGUAACUGCAGCGACUUAUCUUACAACAAUUUCACCGAUUCUUCUCCAGUCAAUUGUCAGGCAUCACCAGUUAAUUUGGUUUCUAGCUAUACGUCUCACCAAAAUAAAUCGCUUUGGUGCUUGGAGAAGGAUCUACCUUGCAGCGGGAAGGCACAAU